rnacentral:rRNA from 1 species
GACGAACGCUGGCGGCGUGCUUAACACAUGCAAGUCGAACGGAAAGGCCCUGCUUUUGUGGGUUGCUCGAGUGGCGAACGGGUGAGUAACACGUGAGUAACCUGCCCUUGACUUUGGGAUAACUUCAGGAAACUGGGGCUAAUACCGGAUAGGAGCUCCUGCUGCAUGGUGGGGGUUGGAAAGUUUCGGCGGUUGGGGAUGGACUCGCGGCUUAUCAGCUUGUUGGUGGGGUAGUGGCUUACCAAGGCUUUGACGGGUAGCCGGCCUGAGAGGGUGACCGGCCACCUUGGGACUGAGAUACGGCCCAGACUCCUACGGGAGGCAGCAGUGGGGAAUAUUGCACAAUGGGCGGAAGCCUGAUGCAGCAACGCCGCGUGCGGGAUGACGGCCUUCGGGUUGUAACCCGCUUUCGCCUGUGACGAAGCGUGAGUGACGGUAAUGGGUAAAGAAGCACCGGCUAACUACGUG